UAAUCUUAUGUGCAAUGGUUGGAGCAACAACAUCCUUUUACAAAGUGAUGAGGAUCCCCUUUAUAUAGGAGGGGAAUCCUAUCAUAGUACAAAAUACAUUAAAUGUAAGAGCAUGGAGAUGGGACGGCUAGACGCGAUGCCUUGAUACAGGCUCCGGGUAGGCCGGCUUUGUCAGACCUAGCUGCGUGCCUUGGGAAUUCCCCAUUUUGCUCUAGCCUCGAUCUACGUCAUCUUUAAGUCGGGCCUCGACUAGCUCUGAAGGAGGGAACCCGGUCACAACUUCGCAUCCUCGGGGUCUAGGUGUUCUUCUGAAGUGACUCGAUAGCAAGAAAUUAGGCCCUCUGAUUUCGCUGCAUACAAGAGCUUAUACAAAAAUAGUCACCGAGGUUCAUCAGACUUGUCCUGGUUGCUCUAAUGAGGCUGUUUCAUAUGAUAAGGCUUACAUAUGUGAUUAAAAGUUAAGUAUAAACACAAGACUUUCACAUUAAUGACUCAAAGGUUGUUUCGGAUUAUCAAACACUUAUCUGAAGAAGGAAAAACACCUUAAACAAUUAAAGUUAACAUACUUUACUCAUUAGUAAAGGAUUAAACCCUGAGCAUUCAUAUACCUCUUAGUUAAAAUCAUUAAAUAACAACUUCAAAUAUAGAAUAAAAGACUACAUUAAACAUGAUUAGUGUAAUAGGCAUGAAGAUCACAACAGAACAUUUAGAGAAAAUCUUAAAUCAUAACAUGCAUGGGAAGCUAUCAAGACACAUUAAAAAACUUAAUUGCAUAGGUUGUUUGAUUUAGAGUAGUAGUCUUCAAGGUCACAUAAUGACUUAAUCAAAUUGACUUGCGACACAUAAAUUCAUUAAAGUUAAUCAUAAGUUAGUAAUAAAUCAUUAUAACCAAGAACAAAUAAUUAAGAGCUGAUGACAAACAUAAAAAACAAAGGCAGUCAAUGAAAAGACAACAAUAGGUUCAUGAUUUUAAAUAAAACAGUCAAAAAGGAGUGGAAGUAUACUGACCUCCUUGUGUGCAGCAGACCAAACAAGAAUUCAACUUAGUCGUGUAGAAACUAGAGCUUCAAGCUUUGAGCAAUGAAAACUCGAAAACAAAAGAAACAAAAAUUAAUCAGAGAGAAAGAGGAAGAGAGCGAGAGCGAGAGAGAGAGAGAGAGAGAGACUAGGCUUUUGAAAUCUCAAUGGUUUUUUUAUACUCGUAUUAGGAUUUUUAGUUCUUGUUCGGUUUGUUAGGUGAGAGCAUUCAAAACUCUAUUUAUUUUGGCAUUUAGUGCCAUAGCUUACUGAUUCAAAUUAGGACAGUGGAAGAUGAUGGAAAGUGGAUGAUGUGAGCAAACUCGAGUGAAAUCAAAGAUGAUAAAGGUGAGAAAAAGGAUAGAUUUUACCUGAGGGAGGAAGACUGCUUGUUGAAAACAAAAACCACCGAAUAAAGGCCCAAUGUCUAGAGGUCUCUGCACUUGACCUCUGGACCAAGAAUAAUGAUGAUGACACUGUAAAAUAGCUAUGUAUGCCACUAAUUUUGACAGAGCACAAAGAAUCUCUGGGGAUUCGACUAUGCAUCGAUUAGUGUAGGGUUUUGAAUUAGGGAUUUCGAAAUCCAAUCAAUGGAAUGGAAAUAAAAUUUGAGGCUUCAUAUCCUAGGGAUGAAGCAAUUGAUUCUGCUAGUUGGACUUGAGAACAAUGUCACGAUGCUAAAGUUUAGAAGUGGCACUUCAGAUUUGAAGAAUAAAAAAAGGAAAUAGUAGUGGGAUUCGUGGAUAGAGAGUAGGAGAGGAUGAUUUGAUGAGAGAUUUCAUGACCUUGCACGGAUUUGUGUAAGGUCUGUUAACUGAUGUUCUUGAGAGAUUGAGACAAGAAAGAGGGAAAGAGGAAAUGGAAGCGGUUGUGGGAGUGACAAAUGAAAUUAGGGUUAGGAUAUUGGGAGUUAGCCUCCGAAUUAAGAGUGAGGGGUUGAUAUGGGUCGUUUAG
rnacentral:lncRNA from 1 species